rnacentral:rRNA from 1 species
AUGCCUGCAGGGACUGACGUAAGACAUGUAGGACCAGUAGCAAAGUUACUGAAGACUAACCUGAGUUUGCCUCCAACUCACUUCCAAGGUGAUGCAAACAAGGAGAACUGGCCACUGAGAAUAGUUGAAGAGCUAGCCAACAAACUCAAGAGUAGAAGGGUGUCCGGGAUAUGCGAUGGCUACUGCCGAGCUCCAAGUUUUGGAGUGAUUUUUGAUGAAUUGGAACCUGGCCUUGAGGAAGGAGAUAAGGACAUCAAGAAAUGUGAUGAAGUUCUUAACAUGCAAAUAGAGGAUAUCGUGACAACGAGCAUAAGAGAACUAAUAAACCUUGAUGAUGAUGUGUGGGAUGCAGAGGAACUAGAGGCAGCAUGUGCUGAAGUGGAACGAAGGGGGAAAGAAUCAGUUAAUUGUGCUAUGUUCAGUACACCAGAGAAAAUCAUCAAUGAAACAAAUGUGGGUCAGGUGGUAAGUUUUCUAGCAGUACCAGUUCAGGGGAGGUAA